GAUGAACCACUUCGGUGGGGAUUAGUGGCGAACGGGUGAGUAACACGUGGGCAAUCUGCCCUUCACUCUGGGACAAGCCCUGGAAACGGGGUCUAAUACCGGAUACCACUCUCACAGGCAUCUGUGGGGGUUGAAAGCUCCGGCGGUGAAGGAUGAGCCCGCGGCCUAUCAGCUUGUUGGUGAGGUAACGGCUCACCAAGGCGACGACGGGUAGCCGGCCUGAGAGGGCGACCGGCCACACUGGGACUGAGACACGGCCCAGACUCCUACGGGAGGCAGCAGUGGGGAAUAUUGCACAAUGGGCGAAAGCCUGAUGCAGCGACGCCGCGUGAGGGAUGACGGCCUUCGGGUUGUAAACCUCUUUCAGCAGGGAAGAAGCGAAAGUGACGGUACCUGCAGAAGAAGCGCCGGCUAACUACGUGCCAGCAGCCGCGGUAAUACGUAGGGCGCAAGCGUUGUCCGGAAUUAUUGGGCGUAAAGAGCUCGUAGGCGGCUUGUCACGUCGGGUGUGAAAGCCCGGGGCUUAACCCCGGGUCUGCAUUCGAUACGGGCUAGCUAGAGUGUGGUAGGGGAGAUCGGAAUUCCUGGUGUAGCGGUGAAAUGCGCAGAUAUCAGGAGGAACACCGGUGGCGAAGGCGGAUCUCUGGGCCAUUACUGACGCUGAGGAGCGAAAGCGUGGGGAGCGAACAGGAUUAGAUACCCUGGUAGUCCACGCCGUAAACGGUGGGAACUAGGUGUUGGCGACAUUCCACGUCGUCGGUGCCGCAGCUAACGCAUUAAGUUCCCCGCCUGGGGAGUACGGCCGC
rnacentral:rRNA from 1 species